rnacentral:lncRNA from 1 species
CUUAGGGCUGCUUGCAGCUGGACAGUGAGGGAGUGAUUGGGCUGUGGCACAGUAUUUGUGCCCUGUUUGAGGGUUGUGGAAGUUUGGUCUUUGUUUUUGCCUCCAGCAUGGCGGGAUCUGGGGCUGUUUCUUGAUGCUAGUCUCAUCUCCAUCCUCCAAGUGGGUCUGUGCUGGCUUUUCUCUGCAUCUGUCUGUGUUGCACUGGUGGUGCCAGUUUCCAGUUCUACAGUAUGUUGUCAGCAGGAUCAGAGCUGGACCUGCAGGGGGCUAAGCAGUGUCAUCCAUCCCUUGUCCAUUCCCUGAACUCUCAACUGUGCUUAACAUAAACUACAGAGAAGAUAUUCUGUCCUGAUACCCUUUUCUUGAAAGGUUUGCCAUUGAGCUUGCUGAGUGAAGUCCAUCCCCUUGAGUUGCUAAGGAGUGCUGUUCAGGAUGGUGUUCUCAGUAAGCUUUUUAGUAACAGACUGGAUUAAUUCCAAGGAAGCUCCUCUAUUCUGUUGCCUAAUUAAUAAUGUAUCUCUUCUCUUUAAAAAAUAAAUAAAAA